rnacentral:rRNA from 1 species
UCUGGUGUCCAGAGCGUAGAGGUCACACCUGUUCCCAUCCCGAACACAGAAGUUAAGCUCUACCACGGCGAUGAUAUUGCAAUGCGAGAAAGUAGCGCGAUGCCAGAA